rnacentral:rRNA from 1 species
GUAGUCUGCAACCCGACUACAUGAAGCUGGAAUCGCUAGUAAUCGCGGAUCAGAAUGCCGCGGUGAAUACGUUCCCGGGUCUUGUACACACCGCCCGUCACACCAUGGGAGUCGGAAAUGCCCGAAGUCUGUGACCUAACCGUAAGGGAGGAGCAGCCGAAGGCAGGUCGGGAUGACUGGGGUGGAAGUCGUAACAAGGUAGC